rnacentral:rRNA from 1 species
UACGAACUGUGCGAACGUUAUUCGGAAUCACUGGGCUUAAAGGGUGCGUAGGCGGCGGCUCCAGUCAGGUGUGAAAUCCCCCGGCUCAACCGGGGAACAGCGCUUGAAACUAGGUCGCUCGAGUGAGGCAGGGGUGCAUGGAACUUCCGGUGGAGCGGUGAAAUGUGUAGAGAUCGGAAGGAACGCCGGCGGCGAAAGCGGUGCACUGGGCCUUGUCUGACGCUGAGGCACGAAAGCUAGGGGAGUGAAC